UAGAAAGCGAAAAGAUGCCCUGGAGCCAGGCUUGUUGGACUUCAACUGAGGGAAUUUUUGGAAGAACUGGAAAUCUAACCGGGAAAUGUGCGGACUAACAGGAACACGAAUUCACUUUAGACUCACUUAAGGGCCUAUGGAGAGGCUUAGAAAUUAUUUUAAUCGCCUCAGUUUUUCAAGUCAACAAAGUGUUUUUGAAUUCCUGUGCGGACAUUUCCCAGUUGUAUGACUUUAGGAAAACUACAAAACUUCUCUAUACUUCAGAAACCUCUACUAUAAAAGGAGGAUACUAUUAAUACAGCCUCAGAUGCUGCUAGGAUAGCAUGAAGUUAUCCAGGAGGAACGCUGUACCCUUCAAGUUGCCAGCACUCACCAAGUAGGCGCAGGUUCUGCAGUAGUCAAAGCGACUUACAUCGCCCCUCCUUACAAGCUCGAUGAAGAAGCCAUUUAUAUUCUGUUCACUUGCAUAGAGUCACACAAUUUGUCAGAGGCUCAGUGGGAAUUGGAACCAAGCCUGUGGAAGCCAGAGGAGAGCAUCAGGUCCUCUAGAACCGGAG